rnacentral:lncRNA from 1 species
UAGAAAAGCCAACUUGUGGCGAUCUCAUGGCCUUCCCUGGGAACUGUCACUUCUACUAUGAUACCUUUCCCCCUCAAGUCUUUGACUCCCCCAUUUAAUAACUCAGGCUUGGCUACCUGUAGACUCUAAUCCUAAGUGGAUCCAGAAUUGCUUUCCCAAGUCUAACUUCAGUUCCCUUUGGAUGGAACCAGUCCCACAUGUACCCACUUAGAAGAACGAUACUGAGAUGGGAAAAGAACAUCUACUUUGUUCAGUAGGCUGGCAGCUUAAGCCAGGUGGGUGAGACGGGGAGAGCGCUUCCCUGCCUUUCCCUGGAGCCGUCUCUUCUCCCAUCUGCAUGAGACUGGGGACACCUUGCUUCCCUCCUUCCCUUCCAGCCCCCUCUUCAUCUUCAUUGUCAUCCUACAACAUCCAGUCUCCCCUCACUGAAGGUAAAGUUUAAAUUAUCACCAGGAUUUUGCACAUCUCCUUUUAUUGCUAAGUGCUGUAGAUGUAAGCCCUAUCCUAAGCUGUUCAGGGUCUCACUCCUUUUCUCUGAUUGUUAAUAAGGACUAUGAAAUUGACUGUACCCAGGUCACCUCUCUGCAGCCUCCAAGAUGUUGAGGAGCCUAGGGCAGGGGUGGGAGUGUCUUUUCCUCCUUGUUGAAUGUCUUCCAUGUCCUAUGUUUCCAUAGCUACAUCCAUCCCUUGGCCUUAACUUUGGAAUUUGGAGAUUAUAUGCAAACAUGUGUAAAGGCUCAUGAAUAUGGAUGACACUGGAAUUUUAUAAAUUCUAAAAUAAAACCCAAAACC